rnacentral:rRNA from 1 species
GAUCCUGGCUCAGGAUGGACGCUAGCGGCAGGCCUAAUACAUGCAAGUCGAACGGGAUGGGGUCCUCGGGACCCUGAGAGUGGCGCACGGGUGCGCAACGCGUAUGCAACCAACCCCCGACAGGCGGAUAGCCGGUGGAAACGCCGGAUAAUACGCCAUGGUUCCGAGGGAGGGCAUCCUCCUUUGGAUAAAGCUACGGCGGUCGGGGACGGGCAUGCGUCCCAUUAGAUGGUAGGCGGGGUGACGGCCCACCUAGUCCACGAUGGGUAGGGGAUCUGAGAGGACGGUCCCCCACACUGGUACUGAGACACGGACCAGACUCCUGCGGGAGGCAGCAGUAAGGGAUAUUGGUCAAUGGCCGGAAGGCUGAACCAGCCAUGCCGCGUGAGGGGAAAUGAGGCCCUACGGGUCGUGAACCUCUUUUAUUCGGGGACAAGGACGCGCACGAGAUGCGUGUUUGAGGGUACCGAAGGAAUAAGCAUCGGCUAACUCCGUGCCAGCAGCUGC